rnacentral:rRNA from 1 species
UACGUAGGGGGCGAGCGUUGUCCGGAAUCAUUGGGCGUAAAGCGCGUGUAGGCGGCCCGGUAAGUCCGCUGUGAAAGUCCAGGGCUCAACCCUGGGAUGCCGGUGGAUACUGUCGGGCUCGAGUCCGGAAGAGGCGAGUGGAAUUCCUGGUGUAGCGGUGAAAUGCGUAGAUAUCGGGAGGAACAUCAGUGGCGAAGGCGGCUGCCUGGCCCAAUACUGACACUCAGGUGCGACAGCGUGGGGAGCAAACAGG